AGGGCAUACAAUGGAUGCCUAGACGUAUAUUACCGAUGAAGGACGUGGAAGGCUGCGAAAAGCCUCGGGGAGCUGUCUACAAGCUUUGAUCCGGGGAUAUCCGAAUGGGGAAACCCAGCUAGAGUCAUGUCUAGUUACCGUUACCUGAAUACAUAGGGUAAUUGAGAGGGAACCUCCUGAACUGAAACAUCUUAGUAGGGAGAGGAAAAGAAAAUAAAUAAUGAUCGCGGGAGUAGUGGCGAGCGAAACCGUGAGAGCCCAAACCUUUUAAGUUUCUCUGAUUUAUCAGAGAUAAGCUGUUAGGCGAAUACUUAUAGGGUGUUGUGAGUUUACAAACGACCAAGUCAGAGACUUUAACUUCGGUUAAGCUAUCUGAUUUGUGAUUGACGGCUAACACCGAGCAAGUAAGGUAAGAAAUCAUGCAUUGCUAGCAGAAUAGUUCGAAUGACUAGCCAAAGAGCGUGAAAGCCGUGUACGCGAAAGCGAUGCUGACCUUAUGUUUGUUUUCUCGAGUAAGUCGGGACACGAGAAAUCCUGAUUGAAUCCGGCAGGACCACCUGCCAAGGCUAAAUAUAAUAUACGAUCGAUAGUGAACAAGUACAGUGAUGGAAAGGUGAAAAGAACCCCGGGAGGGGAGUGAAAUAGAUCCUGAAAUUGUAUGCCUACAAGGAGUCGGAGCGGAUUUAUUCCGUGACGGCGUGCUUUUUGUAGAACGAUCCAGCGAGUUAAUUUGUACAGCAAGGUUAAGUCAAGUGACGGAGCCACAGUGAAAGCGAGGGUUAAUAACCCGAUUAAGUUGUACGGAUUAGACCCGAAACCGGGUGACCUAACCAUGGGCAGGUUGAAGCUGCAGUAACAUGCAGUGAAGGACCGAACCGUAGAGCGUUUCAAAGCUCCCGGAUGACCUGUGGUUAGAGGUGAAAUGCCAAUCGAACUCGGAGAUAGCUGGUUCUCCUCGAAAUAGCUUUAGGGCUAGCGUCAUGUAGUAGCAAACGGGGGUAGAGCUCUGUAAAGGACUGGGGGGAGCAAUCCUACCCACCCUUAACAAACUACGAAUACCGUUUGUGUAAUCAUGGCAGUCAGAACGUCGGGGCUAAGCUCGGCGCUCGAAAGGGAAACAGCCCAGACCAUCGUCUAAGGUCCCUAAAUAUACACUCAGUGGGAAACAAGGUGAGAUUUCUUAAACAGCUAGGAUGUUGGCUUAGAAGCAGCCAUUCAUUUAAAGAGUGCGUAACAGCUCACUAGUCAAGAGAUCUUGCGUGGAAAAUGUAACGGGGCUCAAGUGUAUUACCGAAGACAUGGAUGUGCAAUUUAUUGUACGUGGUAGAGGAGCGUUCCUAUCUGCAGUGAAGCAGUUUUGGAAAGAAUUGUGGAGCGUUAGGAAGUGAGAAUGCUGGAAUGAGUAACCAUAAGAGGGGUGAGAAUCCCCUCGGCCGUAAGAGCAAGGUUUCCUGAGCGAUGUUAAUCAUCUCAGGGUUAGUCGGGCCUAAGCCGAGGCGCGUAGCGUAGGCGAUGGACAUCAGGUUUAUAUUCCUGAACCGGUUAUAGUUUGUACACUGUUCACGGUGAGAGAGUCAGAGCGGAUUCAUGGUAUGUAUCCGUCCAACCAAGGGGGAACCCAAAGGGAGUGAAAGGUUGUCUUAGGACGACCGAUUCUGGUGAUAGCGCUGGCUAGAAAAGCAGGUGUACUAACGGCUAUAGCCGCCCGUACCGCAAACCAACACAGGUGCUCGAGUCGAGAAGACUAAGGCUUACGAGAGACCCUUUGCUAAGGAACUCGGCAAUACAGCGACCGUAACUUCGGGAUAAGGUCUGCCCCCUCACACUGUGUUUCACAGCGUGAGAGAUGCCGUUUUCGAUAGUCAAGAAUUGAAGAAAAUGGAAAAUGAGAUUGAGUACCUAAUGGCCCUUAAAAAAGGCCUUCAAUCGAUAUCAAUUUGUUGAGAAUAGUGAUUAUUAGAAAACGACCUCAUCGCAAUAUAUGAACCCUUUGGGGUGAAAUGUAGUGUGAGGGGGCCGCAGCUAAAGAGCCCACGGAACUGUUUAUCAAAAACACAGGUCUCUGCUAACACGAAAGUGGAUGUAUAGGGGCUGACUCCUGCCCGGUGCUGGAAGGUUAAGGGGAGUGCUUCACGGUGCGAACUGAAGCCCCAGUGAACGGCGGCGGUAACUAUAACCGUCCUAAGGUAGCGAAAUUCCUUGUCAGGUAAGUUCUGACCCGCACGAAUGGAGUAAUCAUGUGGGCACUGUCUCAGCGAAGGACUCGGUGAAAGUGCAUUGGCGGUAAAGAUGCCGUCUGUCCAUACCAGGACGAGAAGACCCCAUGGAGCUUUACUACAGUUUUACAUUGAUCCGGGUUACACCAUGUGUAGCAUAGUUGGGAGGCUUUGAAGCAGAUACGCCAGUAUUUGUGGAGCCGCAACGUGAAAUACCAACCUUGUUGUGAUCUUGAUCUCACGUUGGCCGUUAUCCGGUCAGCGGACCGUGUAUGAUGGGUAGUUUAACUGGGGCGGUUGCCUCCUAAAGAGUAGCGGAGGCGUUCAAAGGUUGGCUAACUUCGGAUGGAAAUCGAAGUGAUAGUGUAUGCGCACAAGCCAGCUUGACUGUGAGGAGUACAUUCCAAUCAGAGACGAAAGUCGGAGCAAGUGACCCGCUGUAUAGAACUUUGUUCAUUGAAUGUGGGAUCGACAGCGCACACGGAUAAAAGUUACCCUGGGGAUAACAGGCUUAUAGCGCCCAAUAGUUCACAUAGACGGCGCUGUUUGGCACCUCGAUGUCGGCUCAUCACAUCCUGGAGGGGGAGCACCUUCCAAGGGUUCGGCUGUUCGCCGAUUAAAGUGGUACGCGAGCUGGGUUCAGAACGUCGUGAGACAGUUCGGUUUAUAUCCGGUGUGGACGUUAGGAAAUUUGAGAGAAUCUACCCCUAGUACGAGAGGACCGGGGCGGACGAACCUCUGGUGUAUCGAUUGUCGCCACCUGCGGCAUUGUCGAGUAGCUAUGUUCGGUCUAGAUAAGCGCUGAAAGCAUAUUAAGCGCGAAACUAAUCUCAAGAUUAGAUUUCCCUAUGAGGACCCAGAAAGAUGAUCUGGUUGAUAGGCGCAAGGUGGAAGUACAGCAAUGUAUGGAGCUGAAGCGUACUAAUAGUCCCAUCGCCUUUUUA
rnacentral:rRNA from 1 species